rnacentral:misc_RNA from 1 species
CUGUUCAGUACUUUUCCCCCUGUGCCC